GAUGAACGCUGGCGGCGUGCCUAAUACAUGCAAGUCGAGCGAACGGACGAGAAGCUUGCUUCUCUGAUGUUAGCGGCGGACGGGUGAGUAGCACGUGGAUAACCUACCUAUAAGACUGGGAUAACUUCGGGAAACCGGAGCUAAUACCGGAUAAUAUUUUGAACCGCAUGGUUCAAAAGUGAAAGACGGUCUUGCUGUCGCUUAUAGAUGGAUCCGCGCUGCAUUAGCUAGUUGGUAAGGUAACGGCUUACCAAGGCAACGAUGCAUAGCCGACCUGAGAGGGUGAUCGGCCACACUGGAACUGAGACACGGUCCAGACUCCUACGGGAGGCAGCAGUAGGGAAUCUUCCGCAAUGGGCGAAAGCCUGACGGAGCAACGCCGCGUGAGUGAUGAAGGUCUUCGGAUCGUAAAACUCUGUUAUUAGGGAAGAACAUAUGUGUAAGUAACUGUGCACAUCUUGACGGUACCUAAUCAGAAAGCCACGGCUAACUACGUGCCAGCAGCCGCGGUAAUACGUAGGUGGCAAGCGUUAUCCGGAAUUAUUGGGCGUAAAGCGCGCGUAGGCGGUUUUUUAAGUCUGAUGUGAAAGCCCACGGCUCAACCGUGGAGGGUCAUUGGAAACUGGAAAACUUGAGUGCAGAAGAGGAAAGUGGAAUUCCAUGUGUAGCGGUGAAAUGCGCAGAGAUAUGGAGGAACACCAGUGGCGAAGGCGACUUUCUGGUCUGUAACUGACGCUGAUGUGCGAAAGCGUGGGGAUCAAACAGGAUUAGAUACCCUGGUAGUCCACGCCGUAAACGAUGAGUGCUAAGUGUUAGGGGGUUUCCGCCCCUUAGUGCUGCAGCUAACGCAUUAAGCACUCCGCCUGGGGAGUACGACCGCAAGGUUGAAACUCAAAGGAAUUGACGGGGACCCGCACAAGCGGUGGAGCAUGUGGUUUAAUUCGAAGCAACGCGAAGAACCUUACCAAAUCUUGACAUCCUUUGACAACUCUAGAGAUAGAGCCUUCCCCUUCGGGGGACAAAGUGACAGGUGGUGCAUGGUUGUCGUCAGCUCGUGUCGUGAGAUGUUGGGUUAAGUCCCGCAACGAGCGCAACCCUUAAGCUUAGUUGCCAUCAUUAAGUUGGGCACUCUAAGUUGACUGCCGGUGACAAACUGGAGGAAGGUGGGGAUGACGUCAAAUCAUCAUGCCCCUUAUGAUUUGGGCUACACACGUGCUACAAUGGACAAUACAAAGGGCAGCGAAACCGCGAGGUCAAGCAAAUCCCAUAAAGUUGUUCUCAGUUCGGAUUGUAGUCUGCAACUCGACUACAUGAAGCUGGAAUCGCUAGUAAUCGUAGAUCAGCAUGCUACGGUGAAUACGUUCCCGGGUCU
rnacentral:rRNA from 1 species